CGCGUAGGCGGGAUGGCAAGUCGGUCGUGAAAUCCCUCGGCUCAACUGAGGAGCGUCGAUCGAAACUGCCAUUCUUGAGGAUUGCAGAGGAGACUGGGAUUCCCGGUGUAGCGGUGAAAUGUGUAGAGAUCGGGAGGAACACCGGUGGCGAAGGCGGGUCUCUGGGCAAUUCCUGACGCUGAGGCGCGAAAGCGUGGGGAGCAAACGGGAUUAGAUACCCCGGUAGUCCACGCUGUAAACGAUGACGACUAGGUGUGGGAGGGUUCAGUCCCUUCCGUGCCGCAGCUAACGCAUUAAGUCGUCCGCCUGGGGAGUACGGCCGCAAGGUUGAA
rnacentral:rRNA from 1 species